UACGAAGGGGGCUAGCGUUGCUCGGAAUUACUGGGCGUAAAGCGUGCGUAGACGGCUAUCUAAGUCGGGUGUGAAAGCCCCGGGCUCAACCUGGGAAUUGCAUUCGAGACUGAAUAGCUAGGGUACGGUAGAGGGAAGUGGAAUUUCCGGUGUAGCGGUGAAAUGUGUAGAUAUCGGAAGGAACAUCAGUGGCGAAAGCGACUUCCUGGACCAGUACCGACGUUCAGGCACGAAAGCGUGGGGAGCAAACAGG
rnacentral:rRNA from 1 species